rnacentral:rRNA from 1 species
CCUACGGGUGGCAGCAGUGAGGAAUAUUGGUCAAUGGACGAGAGUCUGAACCAGCCAAGUAGCGUGAAGGAUGACUGCCCUAUGGGUUGUAAACUUCUUUUAUAUGGGAAUAAAACAGGCUAUGCAUACCCCCUCGUAUGUACCAUAUGAAUAAGGAUUGGGCAACCCCGUGCCAGCAGCCCGGGUAAUACGGGGGAUCCGAGCGUUACCCGGGUUUAUUGGGUUUAAAGGGGGGGUAGGUGGGUUGUUAAGUCAGUUGGGAAAGUUUGCGGCCCAACCGUAUAAUUGCAGUUGAAACUGGCGGUCUGGAGUGCAGGAGAGGUGGGCGGAAUGCGUGGUGUAGCGGUGAAAUGCAUAGAUAUCACGCAGAACUCCGAUUGCGAAGGCAGCUCACUGGACUGCAACUGACACUGAUGCACGAAAGUGUGGGUAUCAAACAGGAUUAGAUACCCCUGUAGUC